rnacentral:ncRNA from 1 species
GGCCCAAGGUCCUAAAUGGGGAAUAUUCAAGUGUCUAGGCUAAGGGUCUGUCUGUGGACUUACAUUCGAGCAGGACGAUAUUCGGCUUAUAAUCCCGUGUUUCCGCUGGAAGGCCAUCGCUCAACGGAUAAAGCUACCCCGGGGAUAACAGGCUAUCUCCCCCAAGAGUCCACAUCGACGGGGAGGUUUGGCACCUCGAUGUCGGCUCAUCGCAUCCUGGGGCUGUAGUCGGUCCCAAGGGUUGGGCUGUUCGCCCAUUAAAGCGGUACGCGAGCUGGGUUCAGAACGUCGUGAGACAGUUCGGUCCCUAUCCGUCGUGGGCGUAGGAAAUUUGAGAGGAGCUGUCCUUAGUACGAGAGGACCGGGAUGGACGCACCGCUGGUGUACCAGUUGUUCUGCCAAGGGCAUAGCUGGGUAGCUAUGUGCGGAAGGGAUAAGUGCUGAAAGCAUCUAAGCAUGAAGCCCCCCUCAAGAUGAGAUUUCCCAUAGCGUAAGCUAGUAAGAUCCCUGAAAGAUGAUCAGGUUGAUAGGUUCGAGGUGGAAGCAUGGUGACAUGUGGAGCUGACGAAUACUAAUAGAUCGAGGACUUAACCAU